UACGGAGGGGGCUAGCGUUGUUCGGAGUUACUGGGCGUAAAGCGCACGUAGGCGGCUUUGUAAGUUAGAGGUGAAAGCCCGGGGCUCAACUCCGGAAUUGCCUUUAAGACUGCAUCGCUAGAAUUGUGGAGAGGUAAGUGGAAUUCCGAGUGUAGAGGUGAAAUUCGUAGAUAUUCGGAAGAACACCAGUGGCGAAGGCGGCUCACUGGACGACUGUUGACGCUGAGGUACGAAAGCGUGGGGAGCAAACAGG
rnacentral:rRNA from 1 species